GAUGAACGCUGGCGGCGUGCCUAAUACAUGCAGUCGAGCGACAGAUAAGGAGCUUGCUCCUUUGACGUUAGCGGCGGACGGGUGAGUAACACGUGGGUAACCUACCUAUAAGACUGGAAUAACUCCGGGAAACCGGGGCUAAUGCCGGAUAACAUUUAGAACCGCAUGGUUCUAAAGUGAAAGAUGGUUUUGCUAUCACUUAUAGAUGGACCCGCGCCGUAUUAGCUAGUUGGUAAGGUAACGGCUUACCAAGGCAACGAUACGUAGCCGACCUGAGAGGGUGAUCGGCCACACUGGAACUGAGACACGGUCCAGACUCCUACGGGAGGCAGCAGUAGGGAAUCUUCCGCAAUGGGCGAAAGCCUGACGGAGCAACGCCGCGUGAGUGAUGAAGGUCUUCGGAUCGUAAAACUCUGUUAUUAGGGAAGAACAAAUGUGUAAGUAACUAUGCACGUCUUGACGGUACCUAAUCAGAAAGCCACGGCUAACUACGUGCCAGCAGCCGCGGUAAUACGUAGGUGGCAAGCGUUAUCCGGAAUUAUUGGGCGUAAAGCGCGCGUAGGCGGUUUCUUAAGUCUGAUGUGAAAGCCCACGGCUCAACCGUGGAGGGUCAUUGGAAACUGGGAAACUUGAGUGCAGAAGAGGAAAGUGGAAUUCCAUGUGUAGCGGUGAAAUGCGCAGAGAUAUGGAGGAACACCAGUGGCGAAGGCGACUUUCUGGUCUGUAACUGACGCUGAUGUGCGAAAGCGUGGGGAUCAAACAGGAUUAGAUACCCUGGUAGUCCACGCCGUAAACGAUGAGUGCUAAGUGUUAGGGGGUUUCCGCCCCUUAGUGCUGCAGCUAACGCAUUAAGCACUCCGCCUGGGGAGUACGACCGCAAGGUUGAAACUCAAAGGAAUUGACGGGGACCCGCACAAGCGGUGGGAGCAUGUGGUUUUAAUUCGAAGCAACGCGAAGAACCUUACCAAAUCUUGACAUCCUUUGACAACUCUAGAGAUAGAGCCUUCCCCUUCGGGGGACAAAGUGACAGGUGGUGCAUGGUUGUCGUCAGCUCGUGUCGUGAGAUGUUGGGUUAAGUCCCGCAACGAGCGCAACCCUUAAACUUAGUUGCCAGCAUUUAGUUGGGCACUCUAAGUUGACUGCCGGUGACAAACCGGAGGAAGGUGGGGAUGACGUCAAAUCAUCAUGCCCCUUAUGAUUUGGGCUACACACGUGCUACAAUGGACAAUACAAAGGGCAGCUAAACCGCGAGGUCAUGCAAAUCCCAUAAAGUUGUUCUCAGUUCGGAUUGUAGUCUGCAACUCGACUACAUGAAGCUGGAAUCGCUAGUAAUCGUAGAUCAGCAUGCUACGGUGAAUACGUUCCCGGGUCUUGUACACACCGCCCGUCACACCACGAGAGUUUGUAACACCCGAAGCCGGUGGAGUAACCAUUUAUGGAGCUAGCCGUCGAAGGUGGGACAAA
rnacentral:rRNA from 1 species